rnacentral:lncRNA from 1 species
CGCUCGGCUUGAAUUUUGGUGCACCGAAUCGAGAAAUAGGUGAACUCCGGCGAGGUGGGGUGUUCCCGGCCAUGGCGCCGCCGUGAUGGUGCCCUGCACCGGCCGGCGUUCAUCCCUCCUCCCCCUCAGAAUGGAUCAAGACCGCCCGUUUCUAAUCCAACGGUCGAAAUCGGCCGAUACCCCUUCGCGUGGUCAUUUUGUUUAAGAGCCCCUGGGAAACUUGAUAACCAACCCGCGGUCCAAGGCGUAAUCACUAGUUUACGCUUUCCUUUUCAGUUUUCUGGUUGGCUGAAUCCAAAAUGCGCUUUCCAAUAUUUACAGAAUUGCCACUGAACUUAUAAUGCUUAUAAAAUGGUCAUUUUAAGUCCGUUUUUGUCCAUUCAAAUUCCGUUGGAUUCGUAUUUACGAUCUCUACAUGUUAGAGGUAUUAGUUUACUGUUUUGAAACUUUUUAAUUCUGCAGUAGCAUUUAAUUAAUUAUUCCUCUAUAGGAAAUCUUAGAAAAUUCAUAUCUUUCACGUUUUAAUUCCGAUUUCGUGAACUUUACGUUUGUGUGAUCGUAGCGCUGCGUAGAAUAUUUUUAUAAACUUUUAUCUUUGAUUUCUCACUGCUGGUAUAAUGUUCUAAUUAGAUCUUGUUUGCUUUGUGUAUGAUUGUCUACAUUGGAUUGCGUGUUGUUG